rnacentral:rRNA from 1 species
UACGGAGGAUCCGAGCGUUAUCCGGAUUUAUUGGGUUUAAAGGGUGCGCAGGCGGGAAAUUAAGUCGGCGGUGAAAUUUUGAAGCUCAACUGUAAAAGUGCCUUCGAAACUGGUUUCCUUGAGUGUAGAUGAAGUAGGCGGAAUUUGUGGUGUAGCGGUGAAAUGCAUAGAUAUCACGAGGAACUCCGAUUGCGCAGGCAGCUUACUAAACUACUACUGACGCUCAGGCACGAAGGCGUGGGGAUCAAACAGGAUUAGAUACCCUGGUAGUCCCU